rnacentral:rRNA from 1 species
GGCGUAGAGGGCUUCGCAGGCGGUUUUUUAAGUCUGAUGUGAAAGCCCCCGGCUUAACCGGGGAGGGUCAUUGGAAACUGGGGAACUUGAGUGCAGAAGAGGAGAGUGGAAUUCCACGUGUAGCGGUGAAAUGCGUAGAGAUGUGGAGGAACACCAGUGGCGAAGGCGACUCUCUGGUCUGUAACUGACGCUGAGGAGCGAAAGCGUGGGGAGCGAACAGGAUUAGAUACCCUGGUAGUCCACGCCGUAAACGAUGAGUGCUAAGUGUUAGGGGGUUUCCGCCCCUUAGUGCUGCAGCUAACGCAUUAAGCACUCCGCCUGGGGAGUACGGUCGCAAGACUGAAACUCAAAGGAAUUGACGGGGGCCCGCACAAGCGGUGGAGCAUGUGGUUUAAUUCGAAGCAACGCGAAGAACCUUACCAGGUCUUGACAUCCUCUGACAAUCCUAGAGAUAGGACGUCCCCUUCGGGGGCAGAGUGACAGGUGGUGCAUGGUUGUCGUCAGCUCGUGUCGUGAGAUGUUGGGUUAAGUCCCGCAACGAGCGCAACCCUUGAUCUUAGUUGCCAGCAUUCAGUUGGGCACUCUAAGGUGACUGCCGGUGACAAACCGGAGGAAGGUGGGGAUGACGUCAAAUCAUCAUGCCCCUUAUGACCUGGGCUACACACGUGCUANCAUGGACAGAACAAAGGGCAGCGAAACCGCGAGGUUAAGCCAAUCCCACAAAUCUGUUCUCAGUUCGGAUCGCAGUCUGCAACUCGACUGCGUGAAGCUGGAAUCGCUAGUAAUCGCGGAUCACA